GACGAACGCUGGCGGCGUGCUUAACACAUGCAAGUGGAGCGACGAACCAGGGCUUGCCCUGGGGCAAAGCCGCGAACGGGUGAGUAACACGUGGGUAACCUGCCCCGAAGACCGGGACAACCCGAGGAAACUCGGGCUAAUACCGGAUGUGGUCACUCUUCAUAAGGAGAGUGAGCAAAGGAAGCUUCGGCCUCCGCUUCGGGAUGGGCCCGCGGCCCAUUAGCUUGUUGGUGAGGUAACGGCUCACCAAGGCUUCGAUGGGUAGCUGGUCUGAGAGGACGAUCAGCCACACUGGGACUGAGACACGGCCCAGACUCCUACGGGAGGCAGCAGUGGGGAAUCUUGCGCAAUGGGCGACAGCCUGACGCAGCAACGCCGCGUGAGGGAAGAAGGCUUUCGGGUCGUAAACCUCUUUCAGGAGGGACGAAGCUUCGGGAGUGAAUAGCUUUCCGGAGUGACGGUACUUCCACAAGAAGCCCCGGCUAACUACGUGCCAGCAGCCGCCGUAA
rnacentral:rRNA from 1 species